AAAUUGUUUGAUUUAGCUCAAGAGCUUAGAGGAUCAAAGUUGGAUAAGGGAAAGGAAAAAGUGAUCGAAUAGCCGUUGAAAUCGUUUGACAACAUCCGAGAUUUUUGUUCGUCAGCUAUCGGACUCGGGAUUGUUGAAGUCAAAGUCGUCCACACUAUCUAAGCCCUUUUGGUACUCUUUUAGUUAAACGUUGAUAAUGGCAUGUAUAGGACUAACCUUUGUUGUUAAUCAAGUACCUUUGGUAAUGUGUAUAUAUUCGGAUAGCCAUGCGAAAAUGGCUUAAAUAUUUUGAGCAUAGUAUUAAAAUCAUUUUGCAUA